rnacentral:rRNA from 1 species
UACAGAGGUCUCAAGCGUUGUUCGGAUUCAUUGGGCGAAAGGGUGCGUAGGCGGCCCGCUAAGUCGAACGUGAAAUCCCCGAGCUCAACUCGGGAACUGCGUCCGAUACUGGCGGGCUUGAAUCCGGGAGAGGGAUGCGGAAUUCCAGGUGUAGCGGUGAAAUGCGUAGAUAUCUGGAGGAACACCGGUGGCGAAGGCGGCAUCCUGGACCGGCAUUGACGCUGAGGCGCGAAAAGUAGGGGGAGCAAAACGGGG